rnacentral:rRNA from 1 species
GACGAACGCUGGCGGCGUGCUUAACACAUGCAAGUCGAACGGAAAGGCCCUGCUUUUGUGGGGUGCUCGAGUGGCGAACGGGUGAGUAACACGUGAGUAACCUGCCCUUGACUUUGGGAUAACUUCAGGAAACUGGGGCUAAUACCGGAUAGGAGCUCCUGCUGCAUGGUGGGGGUUGGAAAGUUUCGGCGGUUGGGGAUGGACUCGCGGCUUAUCAGCUUGUUGGUGGGGUAGUGGCUUACCAAGGCUUUGACGGGUAGCCGGCCUGAGAGGGUGACCGGCCACAUUGGGCCUGAGAUACGGACCAGUCUCCUACGUGACGCAACGGUCGGGAGUAUUGCGCAGUCGGCCGAAGCCUGUUGCGACGACGCCGCGUGCGUGAUGACGGCCUUCGGGUUAUAAACCGCUUUCGCCUGUUACGAAGCGUGAGUGACGGUAAUGGGUAAAGAAGCACCGGCUAACUACGUG